rnacentral:rRNA from 1 species
CUCCUACGGGAGUCAGCAGUAGGGAAUCUUCCGCAAUGGGCGCAAGCCUGACGGAGCAACGCCGCGUGAGUGAGGAAGGCCUUCGGGUUGUAAAACUCAGUCACCUGGGAAGAGAGGUAUGGGGAGUGGAAUGCCCCAUACGAGACGGUACCAGGGGAGGAAGCCCCGGCUAACUACGUGCCAGCAGCCGCGGUAAUACGUAGGGGGCAAGCGUUGUCCGGAAUCACUGGGCGUAAAGCGUGCGUAGGCGGUCUUUCAAGUCCGGGGUGAAAACUCAAGGCUCAACCUUGAGAAUGCCUUGGAAACUGGGGGACUUGAGUACUGGAGAGGCAAGGGGAAUUCCACGUGUAGCGGUGAAAUGCGUAGAGAUGUGGAGGAAUACCAGUGGCGAAGGCGCCUUGCUGGACAGUGACUGACGCUGAGGCACGAAAGCGUGGGGAGCAAACAGGAUUAGAUACCCUGGUAGUCCACGCCGUAAACGAUGAGUGCUAGGUGUUGGGGGUUCAUCCCCUCAGCGCCGAAGGAAACCCAAUAAGCACUCCGCCUGGGGAGUACGGUCGCAAGACUGAAACUCAAAGGAAUUGACGGGGGCCCGCACAAGCAGUGGAGCAUGUGGUUUAAUUCGAAGCAACGCGAAGAACCUUACCAGGGCUUGACAUCCCUCUGACCGGUUCAGAGAUGGACCUUCCCUUCGGGGCAGAGGAGACAGGUGGUGCAUGGUUGUCGUCAACUCGUGUCGUGAGAUGUUGGGUUAAGUCCCGCAACGAGCGCAACCCUUGACCUGUGUUACCAGCACGUAAUGGUGGGGACUCACAGGUGACUGCCGGCGUAAGUCGGAGGAAGGUGGGGAUGACGUCAAAUCAUCAUGCCCUUUAUGUCCUGGGCUACACACGUGCUACAAUGGGCGGUACAACGGGAAGCGAGACCGCGAGGUGGAGCGAAACCCAAAAAGCCGUUCGUAGUUCGGAUUGCAGGCUGCAACCCGCCUGCAUGAAGCCGGAAUUGCUAGUAAUCGCGGAUCAGCAUGCCGCGGUGAAUCCGUUCCCGGGCCUUGUACACACCGCCCGU